rnacentral:rRNA from 1 species
GCUUAACCGGAGAAGUGCAUCGGAAACUGGGAGACUUGAGUGCAGAAGAGGACAGUGGAACUCCAUGUGUAGCGGUGGAAUGCGUAGAUAUAUGGAAGAACACCAGUGGCGAAGGCGGCUGUCUAGUCUGUAACUGACGCUGAGGCUCGAAAGCAUGGGUAGCGAACAGGAUUAGAUACCCUGGUAGUCCAUGCUGUAAACGAUGAGUGCUAAGUGUUGGAGGGUUUCCGCCCUUCAGUGCUGCAGCUAACGCAUUAAGCACUCCGCCUGGGGAGUACGACCGCAAGGUUGAAACUCAAAGGAAUUGACGGGGGCCCGCACAAGCGGUGGAGCAUGUGGUUUAAUUCGAAGCUACGCGAAGAACCUUACCAGGUCUUGACAUCUUCUGCCAAUCUUAGAGAUAAGACGUUCCCUUCGGGGACAGAAUGACAGGUGGUGCAUGGUUGUCGUCAGCUCGUGUCGUGAGAUGUUGGGUUAAGUCCCGCAACGAGCGCAACCCUUAUUAUCAGUUGCCAGCAUUCAGUUGGGCACUCUGGUGAGACUGCCGGUGACAAACCGGAGGAAGGUGGGGAUGACGUCAAAUCAUCAUGCCCCUUAUGACCUGCGCUACACACGUGCUACAAUGGACGGUACAACG